rnacentral:rRNA from 1 species
GACGAACGCUGGCGGCGUGCUUAACACAUGCAAGUCGAACGGUGAAGCGCCUUCCUUUUUGGUGGGUGUGGAUGAGUGGCGAACGGGUGAGUAACACGUGAGUAACCUGCCCCCUUCUUCUGGAUAACCGCAUGAAAGUGUGGCUAAUACGGGAUAUUCUGGGUCUGUCGCAUGAUGGGUCUGGGAAAGAUAUUGUUUCGGUGGGGGAUGGGCUCGCGGCCUAUCAGCUUGUUGGUGGGGUGAUGGCCUACCAAGGCGGUGACGGGUAGCCGGCCUGAGAGGGUGGACGGUCACACUGGGACUGCGACACGGCCCAGACUCCUACGGGAGGCAGCAGUGGGGAAUAUUGCACAAUGGGCGCAAGCCUGAUGCAGCGACGCCGCGUGAGGGAUGGAGGCCUUCGGGUUGUGAACCUCUUUCGCCAGUGAAGCAGGCCUGCCUCGUUUGUGGGUGGGUUGACGGUAGCUGGAGAAGAAGCGCCGGCUAACUACGUG